UACGGAGGGUGCAAGCGUUAUCCGGAUUCACUGGGUUUAAAGGGUGCGUAGGUGGGUUGGUAAGUCAGUGGUGAAAUCUCCGAGCUUAACUUGGAAACUGCCAUUGAUACUAUUAAUCUUGAAUAUUGUGGAGGUCAGCGGAAUAUGUCAUGUAGCGGUGAAAUGCUUAGAGAUGACAUAGAACACCAAUUGCGAAGGCAGCUGGCUACACAUAUAUUGACACUGAGGCACGAAAGCGUGGGGAUCAAACAGGA
rnacentral:rRNA from 1 species